UUUUGUAUUUAGCCCUCAGUUAGAAGCUUCCACUUUCGUUUACUAAUCUAUUAUCUCACAAUAGCUCAAAACUCAUAUCAGCAAACAUUGGUCUCACUGCUUCGAAUCUGCAGAUUAGGGUCUCUGAAGUUCUCUUUGCUCUUCACUCUUCCAACUUCAGUCUCUGCUCAAACAAAAUUAACAAGCACUCAAGUCUUAUUGCUUCCAUCUCAUUCUAUAAGUGUUUUUCUGGUCGCAAUCAAAAUAGGUGCUGGGAGAUUAUUGUUGUUGACAAUCACAUUAUAUUCCUCGCACUCUCAAGAAAAAAUAGUUUCUACUCACUUUAUGAGAGGACUUCGGAGAAAUUGAAGGAAUUGAGCUCCAAGCUAAAAUGGAAAAGGAUGAAGAGUUCCUUGUGAUCCUUAGAAGGAGUAUAGGAAUAUCUUCUUAUCAGGGUUUAUCGCUGCAAACUAGAUUUAACUCAACAAUACACAUAAAUCCUGCUUACCCAUAGGCGUUGGAGCUCAUCAACCGGGCAAAAACAAACAAACACAUGCUUUCAAGUUAUGCAUCAGCUAGCUUCUCUACGUCAUCAAUGUCUCUCACAGUAACUCCUGCUCAGCAGCAAAUUAUUAUCCCCAUUGCAGAAAUUUCAUCACAAACUAUGGUUCAUAUGAUUGAUAAGAGCUUUGGAAGAAACCAAGUGAAAAACAAGUCAAAAAGAGACCAAAUUGAAGAAAACUGAAAAAGCGGCUAAAAAUGCAAAAAGGGGACAGAUUUGCAAAAAUGGGACAGAACUGCAAAAAGGGGACAGAACUGCAAAAACUGAAAUCUGGGGCAUAUUUUGUCAUUUUUGGACUUGAAAAAAUUGGGAAAUAUAAAAAGGAAGACUUGGGGGAAAACAUUUUCAUCAUUGACAUAAACACAAGACUUGGAGAGCUAGGGUUCUAACACCCACACUUGGGGAUUGAAGAUUUGAAGUUUUGAUGAGAAAUUUCUUAUCUCUUUACUCAUUUCUUCAAUUUCCUUGCUAUGUAUUGAAUAUCUAAGUGUGUAGUAUUUCAUUUCUAUACCUGAACCUUGUUUAUGGAAGUAUACAUUGUUAAAGUUUAGAUUGAAACUCUUGUUUUGCUUAUGGAUUGAAUGAUUUUUAUUCCU